UAUAUAUAUAUAUAUAUAUAUAUAUAUAGAGAGAGAGAGAGAGAGAGAGAGAGAGAGAGUCUGGCUAGUAUACUAUCGAUAGUACCAAGCUGUUGAUACUAUUGAAUUUUUUGCCGUUAGAUCUACCCUUUGAUCAUUUUCAUCCGUUAGUUUAUAUUUUUCAAUCUACCAUCCGGCCACUCAACCCUAGAAGAUCAUUAUUAUUUUAACUGUACAUUUUUUCAUCCAAUGGCCAAAACUCAAUAGCACCAAACGUUUGGUACUAUCGAUAGUAUAAUAGCAUAUUCUAUAUAUAUAGAGAGAGAGAGAGAGUUGGGUUAGAAUACUAUUGAUAGCAAAAGACCUUUUUUUGCUAUUAAGUUUUUAGCCUUUGGAUCAAAUUUUUUUUAUCAUUUCUAAUUAUUGGAUUAAAUAUUAAUUAUAACUCAGUAGCGAUCACUCAACCCUAGGGGGACCACUCAACACUACGGGACUAAUAUCAUUCCAUCUCUACAAUUUCUCAUCCAAAAAUUAAAAACUUGAUAGCAAAAAGAAUCUUUUGCUAUCAAUAGUAUUCCAACCUUUCUCUCUC
rnacentral:lncRNA from 1 species